rnacentral:rRNA from 1 species
UACGGGAGGCAGCAGUGGGGAAUAUUGCACAAUGGGCGCAAGCCUGAUGCAGCCAUGCCGCGUGUAUGAAGAAGGCCUUCGGGUUGUAAAGUACUUUCAGUCGUGAGGAAGGUGGUGUUGUUAAUAGCAGCAUCAUUUGACGUUAGCGACAGAAGAAGCACCGGCUAACUCCGUGCCAGCGACCGCGGUAAU